GAGGUGGGCCAGGCGACCGCGGGGCGCAUCCGGAAACGGGGCGUCAUGAGGAAAGUCCGGGCUCCACAGGGCAGGAUGCCGGCUAACGGCCGGGCGGGGUAACCCGACGGAAAGCGCCGCAGAAAAGAAGACUCCAACUGGCCGGCCCUCGGGCCGCGCAAAGGGAAAAGCUGAAACGGUGGUGUAAGAGACCACCAGCGCCGCGGCAACGCGACGGCUUGGCAAGCCCCAUCCGGAGCAAACGCAAAUAGGAGCGCCAUGGUGUGGCCCGCACUGCGCUCGGGUUGCGCGCUAGAGGCGGGCGGAGACGCCCGCAGUAGAUAAAUGGCCGCCCACGACAGAACCCGGCUUACAGGCCCACCUCGCCU
rnacentral:RNase_P_RNA from 1 species